rnacentral:rRNA from 1 species
GUGCCAGCAGCCGCGGUAAUACGAGGGGUGCAAGCGUUAAUCGGAAUUACUGGGCGUAAAGCGUACGCAGGCGGUUUGUUAAGCGAGAUGUGAAAGCCCCGGGCUCAACCUGGGAAUUGCAUUUCGAACUGGCAAACUAGAGUCUUGUAGAGGGGGGUAGAAUUUCAGGUGUAGCGGUGAAAUGCGUAGAGAUCUGAAGGAAUACCGGUGGCGAAGGCGGCCCCCUGGACAAAGACUGACGCUCAGGUACGAAAGCGUGGGGAGCAAACAGGAUUAGAUACCCUGGUAGUCC